CGCUGGCGGCGUGCCUAACACAUGCAAGUCGAGCGAGGACGAGGGGCUUCGGUCCCGAGUUCGAGCGGCGGACGGGUGAGUAACGCGUGAACAAUCUGUCCCAUACAGGGGGAUACCACUUGGAAACAGGUGCUAAUACCGCAUAAGACCACGCAGCCGCAUGGCUAAGGGGUAAAAGGGAUACCGGUAUGGGGUGAGUUCGCGUCCGAUUAGAUAGUUGGUGAGGUAACGGCCCACCAAGUCAACGAUCGGUAGCCGACCUGAGAGGGUGAUCGGCCACAUUGGAACUGAGAGACGGUCCAAACUCCUACGGGAGGCAGCAGUGGGGAAUAUUGGGCAAUGGGCGAAAGCCCUGACCCAGCAACGCCGCGUGAGGGAAGAAGGUUUUCGGAUUGUAAACCUCUAUCGUAGAGGACGAAGUAGAUGACGGUACUCUACAAGGAAGCCCCGGCUAACUACGUGCCAGCCGCUGC
rnacentral:rRNA from 1 species